UUGUCUCAAAGAUUAAGCCAUGCAUGUCUAAGUAUAAACAACUUUAUACUGUAAAACUGCGAACGGCUCAUUACAUCAGCAAUAAUUUAUUUGAUGAUUUCUUACUACAUGGAUAACUGUAGUAAUUCUAGAGCUAAUACAUGCGCAAAGUCCUGACUCGCGAGGGGAGGGAUGUAUUUAUUAGAUACAAAACCAAUGCGGGUUCUGCUCGCCAUUGUGUUGAAUCAUAGUAACUUAUCGAACGCCAUAGCCUUGUGCUGGGCGUAGAUCAUUCAAAUUUCUGCCCUAUCAGCUUUCGACGGUAGUGUAGUGGACUACCGUGGCGUUAACGGGUAACGGGGAAUA
rnacentral:rRNA from 1 species